GACUCUGGCUACAAGCAGACUUCGUCCGGACUCCUACGGGAGUCGGACUCCACCCCCAACUUCACUUACAGGCAGACUUCGUCCGGACUCCUACGGGAGCCGGACUCCGCCCACAACUCCAAUUGCAAGCAGAUUUUGUCCGGACUCCUACUGGAGCCGGAUCUCAUCCCCGACUUCGACUACAGGAAGACUUCGUCCAGACUCCUACGGGAGCCGGACUCCGAGCUCCUACCACAAGCGACCCACUCCGAGUCUCCGCUGCAA
rnacentral:lncRNA from 1 species